rnacentral:rRNA from 1 species
UACAGAGGUCUCAAGCGUUGUUCGGAUUCAUUGGGCGUAAAGGGUGCGUAGGCGGCGCGGUAAGUCGGGUGUGAAAUCUCGGGGCUUAACUCCGAAACUGCAUUCGAUACUGCCGUGCUUGAGGACUGGAGAGGAGACUGGAAUUCAUGGUGUAGCAGUGAAAUGCGUAGAGAUCAUGAGGAAGACCAGUGGCGAAGGCGGGUCUCUGGACAGUUCCUGACGCUGAGGCACGAAGGUCAGGGGAGCAAACGGG